rnacentral:rRNA from 1 species
UACAGAGGGGGCAAGCGUUGUUCGGAAUUACUGGGCGUAAAGGGCGCGUAGGCGGCCUGUUAAGUCGAACGUGAAAUCCCCGGGCUCAACCCGGGAACUGCGUCCGAUACUGGCAGGCUUGAAGUCCGGGAGAGGGAUGUGGAAUUCCAGGUGUAGCGGUGAAAUGCGUAGAUAUCUGGAGGAACACCGAUGGCGAAGGCAGGUCUCUGGGCCAUUACUGACACUGAGAAGCGAAAGCAUGGGGAGCGAACAGG